rnacentral:rRNA from 1 species
UGCCAGCCGCCGCGGUAAUACGGAGGGUGCAAGCGUUAUCCGGAUUUAUUGGGUUUAAAGGGUGCGUAGGCGGUAAAAUAAGUCAGUGGUGAAAAGCUGCAGCUCAACUGUAGUCCUGCCAUUGAAACUGUUUUACUUGAGUAACCAUGAGGUAGGCGGAAUGUGUAGUGUAGCGGUGAAAUGCUUAGAUAUUACACAGAACACCGAUUGCGUAGGCAGCUUACUAGAGGUUCACUGACGCUGAUGCACGAAAGCGUGGGGAUCAAACAGGAUUAGAUACCCUGGUAGUCCACGCCGUAAACGAUGAUAACUCGCUGUUGGCGAUACACAGUCAGCGGCUUAGCGAAAGCGUUAAGUUAUCCACCUGGGGAGUACGCUCGCAAGAGUGAAACUCAAAGAAAUUGACGG